GUCUCCUUAGUCUAGUGGUUAUUUUGUCGCUUCUCAAAUUUUAGCUGUACGCGCGAGGUCCUGAGUUCAACUCCCCGAGGUGGUCG